ACCGGCGGCUCGAGUGGUGGCCACUAUUACUGGGCUUAAAGCGUUCGUAGCUGGCUUGUUAAGUCUCUGGGGAAAUCUUCCGGCUCAACCGGAAGGCGUCUCAGGGAUACUGGCAGGCUAGGGACCGGAAGAGGUGAGAGGUACUCCAGGGGUAGAGGGGAAACCCGGUAACCCUUGGGGGACCACCGGGGGGGAGGGCGCCUCCCCGGGCGGGUUCGGAAAUUGAGGACGGAAAGUUGGGGAGCAAACCG
rnacentral:rRNA from 1 species